rnacentral:rRNA from 2 species
AGCGGCGGACGGGUGAGUAACACGUGGGCAACCUGCCUGUAAGACUGGGAUAACUUCGGGAAACCGAAGCUAAUACCGGAUAGGAUCUUCUCCUUCAUGGGAGAUGAUUGAAAGAUGGUUUCGGCUAUCACUUACAGAUGGGCCCGCGGUGCAUUAGCUAGUUGGUGAGGUAACGGCUCACCAAGGCAACGAUGCAUAGCCGACCUGAGAGGGUGAUCGGCCACACUGGGACUGAGACACGGCCCAGACUCCUACGGGAGGCAGCAGUAGGGAAUCUUCCGCAAUGGACGAAAGUCUGACGGAGCAACGCCGCGUGAGUGAUGAAGGCUUUCGGGUCGUAAAACUCUGUUGUUAGGGAAGAACAAGUAUGAGAGUAACUGCUCGUACCUUGACGGUACCUAACCAGAAAGCCACGGCUAACUACGUGCCAGCAGCCGCGGUAAUACGUAGGUGGCAAGCGUUAUCCGGAAUUAUUGGGCGUAAAGCGCGCGCAGGCGGUUUCUUAAGUCUGAUGUGAAAGCCCACGGCUCAACCGUGGAGGGUCAUUGGAAACUGGGGAACUUGAGUGCA